rnacentral:rRNA from 1 species
CCUACGGGAGGCAGCAGUGGGGGAUAUUGCACAAUGGGGGGAACCCUGAUGCAGCGACGCCGCGUGGGUGAAGAAGCGCCUCGGCGCGUAAAGCCCUGUCAGCAGGGAAGAAAAUGACGGUACCUGAAGAAGAAGCACAGGCUAACGACGUGCCAGCAGCCGCGGUAAUACGUAGGGGGCAAGCGUUAUCCGGAUUUACUGGGGUUAAAGGGGGCGCAGACGGGGAUGCAAGCCAGGAGUGAAAGCCCGGGGGCCAACCCCGGGACUGCUCUUGGAACUGCGUGGCUGGAGUGCAGGAGGGGCAGGCGGAAUUCCUGGUGUAGCGGUGAAAUGCGUAGAUAUCAGGAGGAACACCGGUGGCGAAGGCGGCCUGCUGGACUGCAACUGACGUUGAGGCCCGAAAGCGUGGGGAGCAAACAGGAUUAGAUACCCCGGUAGUC